rnacentral:rRNA from 1 species
UACGGAGGGUGCAAACGUUGCUCGGAAUCAUUGGGCGUAAAGCGCACGUAGGCGGCCUGUUAAGUCGGAAGUGAAAUCUCCAGGGCUCAACCCGGAAACUGCUUUACAUACUGGCAGACUGGAGUGAUGAAGAGGUUUGUGGAAUUCCUGGUGUAGCGGUGAAAUGCGUAGAUAUCUGGAGGAACACCGGUGGCGAAGGCGGCAUCCUGGACCGGCAUUGACGCUGAGGCGCGAAAGCCAGGGGAGCAAACGGG